CUUUGAUCCACCUCUUUCUGCCAUCGGCAGUGCCACCACCUCAUUUCUACUUGUCAGAAGUCCAUAAAUUCACUGAGCCACGGUUUUUAAAAAACCCUGUCAAAAAUACUGGUCUAAGCCUGCUCUGACCCCCACAUUAAUACACUGUCUUCUUCCUUCAAUUUCACCACUGCAUUUGGUACGUACCUUUGUACCUGGGUACACACAGCCUCUAUGUAGAAAUAGCAGUGGUUUCCCAGAAAUGAAUCUAACGAACUCAUUAGCCACCAGUCACCUAUAGAAAACACUUGAUUUAACCACUUCAGGUUUCCUCAAUCACUAAUUAAAUCGGGACUGAAAUUCAGUCAGGGUUCAUGACCCCUCUCAGGGUUGGUGUAGCUGCAUAAGCGUUCUCCCUUCUCUCUCCCUGCAGCCAGGAAGGAGCUGGGGUGGCCGCGUGGCUGAAGGACAGGGGGACCUCAUGGUGCGGGCAGGCAGGAGUGCUUGAUAAACUUGACUACAAGCCUGAGUUAGAACUGAAAGGAGACCCAAGAGAAAAAUUGCUGGAAAUAGAGUUGGGUGUGAGAAGAUGGUCACAUCCCAGGUUAUGUCCCUGGGACGGCUGCCAAGUGUGGGUUCUUGGCUUCAC
rnacentral:lncRNA from 1 species